GAUGAACGCUGGCGGCGUGCCUAAUACAUGCAAGUCGAGCGAAUGGAUUAAGAGCUUGCUCUUAUGAAGUUAGCGGCGGACGGGUGAGUAACACGUGGGUAACCUGCCCAUAAGACUGGGAUAACUCCGGGAAACCGGGGCUAAUACCGGAUAACAUUUUGAACCGCAUAGUUCGAAAUUGAAAGGCGGCUUCGGCUGUCACUUAUGGAUGGACCCGCGUCGCAUUAGCUAGUUGGUGAGGUAACGGCUCACCAAGGCAACGAUGCGUAGCCGACCUGAGAGGGUGAUGGGCCACACUGGGAAUGAGACACGGCCCAGACUCCUACGGGAGGCAGCAGUAGGGAAUCUUCCGCAAUGGACGAAAGUCUGACGGAGCAACGCCGCGUGAGUGAUGAAGGCUUUCGGGUCGUAAAACUCUGUUGUUAGGGAAGAACAAGUGCUAGUUGAAUAAGCUGGCACCUUGACGGUACCUAACCAGAAAGCCACGGCUAACUACGUGCCAGCAGCCGCGGUAA
rnacentral:rRNA from 1 species